rnacentral:rRNA from 1 species
AAAAGAUUAAGUUAUUAAGGGCGCACGGUGGAUGCCUUGGCACUAGAAGCCGAUGAAGGACGUUACUAACGACGAUAUGCUUUGGGGAGCUGUAAGUAAGCUGUGAUCCAGAGAUUUCCGAAUGGGGGAACCCAGCACGAGUUAUGUCGUGUUAUCCGCAUGUGAAUACAUAGCAUGUGAG